CACACCCAUACGGACACACACACACACCCUCCAUCCACACCACCAAGCCUCCCCACCUCCCUGCGCCUCGCAAGAGCGAGCUGCGGGGAGUUGGGGGGGGCGAGGCGAGGCGAGUCCUGGAGCGCGUCAAGGUUCAGUGACAACGGAACGAGAUGAAGAGAUCAGUGACGAGGAGGAGGAGUGAGGAGCAGGAUGUGGAGGAGGCGAUGGCCGGUGGUGGAUGGAGCCUCGGGGGGCGUCGUUGUACGCGAGGCUCCUGAGCAGCAGCAGCAGCGGCAUCAGCGAGGCUCCGGGCUGAGGCUGCCCGCUCCGUGACGCGCCCAGCCCCCCCACGUCGCUCCACGUCGCUCCACGCGCACGCACGGGGCUCGUGGUGGGGUGGUGGUGGUGGUGGUGGGUGGGGGGCUCUCACCGCCACGUUCCACAUCGGUUGAGACGUUUCCGACUUCCACUCGCGACGAACGUCGUCAACUCUCCACUCAAAACUUGUGGAGCGUCUCGCGAGAAUCGACGUCGCUCACGCGAUCGCCGCCGUCUCCGCACGCGCGUGGCUUCGAGGUGUCCACGACCUUCUAGGACACCGUGAGAAUUGCGUGCGUGUUGGACUUCUUUCGCACCGUACGUAGCCAGCCGUGCUAGUCGGAGGUGCGCGGGAAGGACAACAAAACUGAAACACGACGAGCAGUUGUGUGAAGCAACGAGUUUUCAAUCUUGAUUUUAAAGUGUAUUGCUCCUGUAGAAUUGACGUCUCUGUCGUCUGUCUGUAUGCAUGAGUUCGAUUACGUCUCGCCUUCUAGAACAUCGUAAGAAUUGACGUGGCUAUCGUCUGUAUGUGUGAGUUAGACGUGUCUAACUAACACCUUCUAGAAUAUACUACCAGAGUAUGUUUUUUUGUUUGCAUGUUCACCGCAAGUACUGUGUGUGGCUAAUGCGGACUUCGUGAUUCCUUGCAAAAGGUUUAUGUUUGGUGUUUUAACAUCUUAACACAUCCUGUUUUAUUGCCAGGAGGGGUAUGAAACGUUUUAUUAUAACAUCAUGGUAAUUCACAUCAGUCACCCCCUCUCCAUCGCACACAUAUACACACUGUAUAAGUAUAUAUUUGUAAACACAAAUUAACGUCGCCUAAGUCAUAUAUAAUAACAAUUCUCAUGAUCAUCAUCACACAGGUACAAUCCACUGCUCUCUGAAGUGAUGUAAAUGUAAAUAGGCCAGCAUCUGCUCCGCGCACGAAAGUUCAUCAACUCCGUCUCUCUCACGCGUUUUAAUUUCUCAUUAAAGGCCCACUCCGGAUAUUUUUUUUCCCCAUAUCGGCUUAUCCAGUGCAUAAUAUACUGCAAUUAAUUUCAUAAUUACUUACAGCUCAUUGUACACAAUGCUUAUUAUUACAAUGCCGUAUUGAUGCACGUGCUUAUGCUGCAUAUGAAACAUUGCGUUCAUGUGAACACGACAGUAGUUGUGAUGUUACGUUUGAAAUUGACAUGCAAAGUAUUACGCAUAUAUAUGUAGGGCCACACAACUGUCAACGUAAUUUUACGUUACGCCUAGGUGCAGAAUGAUAUGUAACUGUUCUACCAAGUCGCAGUAUAAUUGUGUUUAAAUGUUCUGUAAUAAACGAGUCUCGUGUUAAAUAACUCAGUUACGUGGGGGGGGGGGGGGGGGGGGUUGCUGGUCGGCCUAAGCGUCACCAACCUCGCCUGUGUCUGAGUUCGAAUUGCGGACCCAGGCUACCAUCAGUGGCGAGUGAUGUCUACACCAAUUCCUGGGUUCACCAACCCGUGGUGCUGACCGUCGUGGUGAAGUAUGGCCAAACACGCCUCGAACGCGUUCCAUCCAGCAGUGGAUUGACGAAGGGCUGUACAUGAUUGUGUGUUAACUCUACAUGAACAGUGCAAAUCUCACUCGGCUAAAGCUCAUAACGUGACAGGUCCGUGAAUUUUAUUAUAGGUUACUGACACUAAUUUGAGUGUAUCCUAUCUUAGUUGUUUACUUGUAGAGCGCCUUUGUUAAUACCGUACAGAAAUAUAUAUGGGGUGGAGCGGUGGCGCAGUGGUUAGCGCACUGCGCUAUGAACCCGGCGUCCUGAGUACAUUUCCCGGCCACGACUCAAACCAGUGGCAACAUUUAGAAUAUUUAUUAAUGCUGGAGAAAUCCGAUAAGCUAUGAAGCUCUUUUUUAGUUUUUUUUUGUUACAGAUGUCCAGUGUCGAACGAUAUCUCGCUCUAAAUUCUCCGCUCUAGGGUCUGGAGGUUCACAAGUUAUCUAGAGGUUUGAGGUCACCAACCUCAUAGCGCAAUGCGCUAACCACUGCACCCACCGCUCCACUGCUAUAUGCUGUAUCUGAGCGAUACAAUGGAAAUGAUUGAAUAGUAGAUCUACGGCACGUGAGUUGCAUUAUUACACUCAUGAGAUUUAUUUCCAGCGACGGGAACGAGUGAUUCACAUUACACAAAUGAACAUUGAACAAAAUAUAUGCUACGUGCAAUAAAGGACCAUUGCCCGAAACGUC